rnacentral:tRNA from 1 species
GAAGUAAUAGUUUAAGUUGUUAAAACGUUAAGUUGCAAUCUUAAAAUUGAGGUUCUCUUACUUUU